GUUUUUGGACAUCUGUGACAUCUAUUAAUGUUAAAUCUAGUCUUUCUUUAGCGACAUAAGCAAACUGUUUUUACAUUUAAUGAACAUUUCUGUUUUAUCCAUCCAUCCAUCUUCUUCUGGUUAUCCAGGGCUGGGUCAUGGGGAAAGCAGCCUAGGCAGAGAAGCCCAGGCCUCCCUCUCCUCAGCCACCUCCUCUAGCUUGUCCGGAGGAACACCAAGGCAUUCCCAAGCCAGCCAGCUGAGAGAUGUAAUCUCUCCAGCGUGUCCUGGGUCUGCUCCUGGCUCUACCCUGAGCCCCUCCCGUAUGGCUGAACGUCUCACCCUAUGUAAUGAUGACAUUUCAAUUAUGUGUUUUAAAAAGAGACCACCUAUUUCUUUGAGGCUCUGAAUCAGCACUCCACACACCACAUCAAACUCUUACAAGUCUAGAAGAGCAGCUGUUGGACAGAAAGACAUCAGCUGAGUGGGAAGGAUUUUGGUUAGUUUACUUCCCACAAUAUGUUAGUAGCUGUCACAUUUAUGUUAAUCAGGCUGAACUUUAAUCAUACUUUAGAUCAAACUGCUUUACUUGCUGCUUCCUUUAUGCUUUAGUUUCCUGUCUUCUAUUAUUAGACCUGAGAUGUGACUGCUCUGUGCUGUUGCUGAUGACUCCAGUUAAUCCUACAAGACAUGCUGUAUCAUCAGAAUGAAAGUUAUUGGCCAUGUUUGCAGAGCCCUUUUUAAAAUGAUGCUUUCCUGACAUCAUUGUGUAUCGGCUGGCUAUCCAGACUGACAAGUGGGACAGUGAAUGUCACCUCUCCAGUGAGGAGGGAGCCUGAGAUUGAGAGUGUAAACUGAGGACACCAGGAGAGAGGAGUCGUUCAUCACAGAAGGUGUGGUCAGUGAAGAUGGUCACUGGCAGGUCGAAGGUCAUUGCAUCUCCAGCCCACAUCCACUGCCACUGUACUGAAGGGACGUUAAGACUUUCUUCUGCACUUACACUCUAAAAACUAAAACUGAGAUUACUUUAAAUUUUUGAAGCAACACUUUUAAACUAAAGCUUAAACAUAUUAAGUUGAAAUGAAUAAUUGUAGUCGUUACACGAACAUAAAAAAAUGGAGUAAAUAACACUGACAUGCUUGGUCAUGUAACUGAAAUAUAGAUGGUCAGUUAAUCCAAAAUGUUGUUCCAUUUACUUAAUAUUGUAAAAUUAACAUAAUCAAAAUUGUAAUUAAUAUUAAAUAUGAUAAAUGACCUGUAUUUGUACAGCACUUUUCCUAGUCCCUCUGGACCCCAAAGCGCUUUACACUACAUUCAGUCAUCCACCCAUUCACACAGUCGUGAUGGCAGCUACAUUGCAGCCACAGCUGCCCUGGGGUGCAUUGACAGAGUAGGCCUGUUGGUGACCGAGACUGUCGGAGCUGGGGCUCGAACCUGCAACCUUCCGAUUACAAGAAGAACUGCCAACUCUUGAGCCACGAUCGCCCCCUAACAUUCAUAUUUGAAUGGUAGUCUAAGUCUACAAAACCAAACAAAGUAGUUGAGUGUUUCAUAAUACAUGUAUGAAAAAUGACCACAUGUUAACAUUUUUCCAAGUGAAAAUGUAAAUUUCAUAAACAUGGCAAUAACUCGAAAUAAACAAGCACUAAAAAGAAGGGAGCCUUUCCCCUUUUAGCUCAAAGCCUCACUUACGUGAAGGAUGAAUGUCAAACCAGGAGAGCAAACACAAACGCUCAGAGUAUUUAAAAAACAAAAUGAACAAUACAAUGAAAAAGGCUCAUGGUACUCAAUUACUCUACGUUAUCGUGUAUUACUUGCACUUUUCAGUUGUAGUUGCUGUCAAUAAAUAAUAUUGAUUUGAAUAAUUAAUGAUUUUAGUACAAGAUUCUGAGGAGUAUAGAUACCUAUUUCUCAAAUAUUUUGAUUCAAUUUCAAACAAAAAUAUUAAGCACAUGCAAAGAAGGUAUUCUGUGAACCA
ensembl:lncRNA